rnacentral:rRNA from 1 species
UACGUAGGGACCAAGCGUUGUUCGGAUUUACUGGGCGUAAAGGGAGCGUAGGCGGCAAUUCAAGUCAGUUGUGAAAUCUUCGAGCUUAACUCGGAACGGUCAACUGAUACUGCUUUGCUAGAGUACAGAAGGGGCAAUCGGAAUUCUUGGUGUAGCGGUGAAAUGCGUAGAUAUCAAGAGGAACACCUGAGGUGAAGACGGGUUGCUGGGCUGAUACUGACGCUGAGGCUCGAAAGCCAGGGGAGCAAACGGGAUUAGAUACCCCGGUAGUCCUGGCCCUAAACGAUGAAUACUUGGUGUCUGGAGUUUUAAUUCUCCGGGUGCCGUCGCUAACGUUUUAAGUAUUCCGCCUGGGGAGUACGUACGCAAGUAUGAA